rnacentral:tRNA from 1 species
GCGGGUUUAGCUCAGUUGGGAGAGCGUCAGACUGAAGCCAAACUUCAAUUAUAAGCAAUUAAUAUCUGAAGGUCGUGUGUUCGAUCCACACAAACCGCA